UGAAGUUUACAUAACUUGUUUUACAUUAUGUUCUAUCCCUCUGUGCACCAACAGUCAGGCAAUUCUAAUGACAAUGUGAGUGUGCCAUGGGUGAGAGGGUGUGUGCCCCACAAUUCAGAGAAAGGAACAAGUGAGAGUUUUAUACAUCUUGUCUAACUGUUGGUUCCCACAGCCGGGAGUUCGUACACAGCAACAGUGAGGAUACUUUAACAAUGAAUGUAGGGUAAAAGC